rnacentral:rRNA from 1 species
AUUGAUUUUAUGCUUGCAUAAAUGAUUUUUGGAUUCGGAGCGAGUGGCGAACUGGUGAGUAACACGUGGGUAACCUGCCCCGAAGCGGGGGAUAACAUUUGGAAACAAGUGCUAAUACCGCAUAAUUAGUUGGAACCGCAUGGUUCCAACUUGAAAGAUGGCUCUGCUAUCACUUUGGGAUGGACCCGCGCCGUAUUAGUUAGUUGGUGAGAUAAAAGCCCACCAAGACGAUGAUACGUAGCCGACCUGAGAGGGUAAUCGGCCACAUUGGGACUGAGACACGGCCCAGACUCCUACGGGAGGCAGCAGUAGGGAAUCUUCCACAAUGGACGAAAGUCUGAUGGAGCAACGCCGCGUGAGUGAUGAAGGUUUUCGGAUCGUAAAACUCUGUUGUUAAAGAAGAACAAGUGUUAGAGUAACUGUUAACACUUUGACGGUAUUUAACCAGAAAGCCACGGCUAACUACGUGCCAGCAGCCGCGGUAAUACGUAGGUGGCAAGCGUUGUCCGGAUUUAUUGGGCGUAAAGCGAGCGCAGGCGGUUUUGUAAGUCUGCUGUGAAAGCCCUCAGCUCAACUGAGGAAGUGCAGUGGAAACUACAAAACUUGGGUACAGAAGAGGAAAGUGGAACUCCAUGUGUAGCGGUGAAAUGCGUAGAUAUAUGGAAGAACACCAGUGGCGAAGGCGGCUUUCUGGUCUGUUACUGACGCUGAGGCUCGAAAGCAUGGGUAGCGAACAGGAUUAGAUACCCUGGUAGUCCAUGCCGUAAACGAUGAAUACUAGGUGUUGGAGGGUUUCCGCCCUUCAGUGCCGCAGCUAACGCAUUAAGUAUUCCGCCUGGGGAGUACGACCGCAAGGUUGAAACUCAAAGGAAUUGACGGGGGCCCGCACAGGUGGUGGAGCAUGUGGUUUAAUUCGAUGCUACGCGAAGAACCUUACCAGCUCUUGACAUCUUCUGCCAACCCAAGAGAUUGGGCGUUCCCUUCGGGGACAGAAUGACAGGUGGUGCAUGGUUGUCGUCAGCUCGUGUCGUGAGAUGUUGGGUUAAGUCCCGCAACGAGCGCAACCCUUAUUAUUAGUUGCCAGCAUUUAGUUGGGCACUCUAGUGAGACUGCCGGUGAUAAA